rnacentral:rRNA from 1 species
UACAGAGGGUGCAAGCGUUGUUCGGAAUCAUUGGGCGUAAAGGGCGUGUAGGCGGUUUGUUAAGUCAUGUGUGAAAUCCCUCGGCUCAACCGGGGAACUGCGUCUGAUACUGGGUGGCUUGAAUCCGGGAGAGGGAUGCGGAAUUCCAGGUGUAGCGGUGAAAUGCGUAGAUAUCAGGAGGAACACCGAUGGCGAAGGCAGAUCUCUGGGCCGUAACUGACGCUGAGGAGCGAAAGCGUGGGAGCGAACAGG